rnacentral:tRNA from 1 species
GCGCCCGUAGCUCAGGCGGAUAGAGCAGUGGUUUCCUAAACCACGUGUCGGGGGUUCGAGUCCCUCCGGGCGUACCA